GAGAGUUCAAAGGAAGUUGGGCCAGGCACCUCACGUGCUGGCUCCUGCAAGAUGCUGCGCGCCCGCGGGUGCCUCGGGUGCCUCGGGUGCCUCGCUAUGGGGGCCAGAGCUUGACCAUCAUCAGGAGCUGGCGGGGUUGUGGAGUAAGAUACUCAGACGUGGAUUGACAGGUCUCACCAGCACCUGACAGGAUCCCCGCACUUCCCAGGUGGUAGCUUCUACAUCCGCCACUCCAAGCUUCGCAUCCACCACUCACUCGCCUGCCUGCAAACUGGUGGGAGGCUGUCUUGAACCUUAGACCGCCAAAGCAGGUCCCAACAGUGGCUGCUCUGGUAGAGCUGCCCCCAGUCUCUGCUGCCACUCGGGGCGCAGCCGUUGAGAGUACAAAGGAAGUUGGGCGGUGGCUCAGCCGUUGAGAGUUCAAAGGAAGUUGGGCGAGGCGCCUCACGCGCUGGCUCCUGCAAGAUGCUGCGCGCUCGCGGGUGCCUCGGGUGCCUCGCUAUGGGUGCCAGAGCUUGACCAUCAUCAGGUUUUGCUAGAGCAUCCUGGGUAGAAUCAUCUUGGAGGAUGGGUCCAGUCCUGUAUGAUUUGUAAAGGAAAGAGUCACCUUACCUGUGAAUGUGCCAUCCACCUCAUAAAUAUCCAUUUUUAAAACAAGCUACUUAAAAUCCACAACAGAGGACUCCCUGUGCCGCUAUCCCCCCUUGGGACAAUCCACUUCAAUCUGUUUGGCUGGCUUGCUUUGCUUUGCUAAAUAAACUGCUUCCAUGCUGUCUCUUGACC
ensembl:antisense 1700097N02Rik RIKEN cDNA 1700097N02 gene